rnacentral:rRNA from 1 species
UAAAGCAAGAAAGGGCGUAUGGGGAAUGCCUAGGCACACUCCGGCGAAGAAGGACGCAGCAAACAGCGAAAUGCGACGGUGAGCGGUAAGCACGUGAAGAGCCGUCGAUAUCCGAAUGGGGGAACCCACACGGAGUCAUAUCCGUGUAUCACAUGUCGAAUACAUAGACAUGAUGAGGCGAGACGCAGGGAACUGAAACAUCUAAGUACCUGCAGGAAGAGAAAAUAAGAAUGAUUUUCUGAGUAGCGGCGAGCGAAAGGGAAAGAGCCCAAACCGAUCUUAGGAUCGGGGUAGUAGGAUCAUCGAUAAAUCUGACAGAGGAUCAUAGAGGAAUCACAUGGGAAGGUGAGCGAGAGAGGGUGAGAGCCCCGUACUCGAAAUGAGAGACUGGAGAGAGAUGACACCUGAGUAGGGCGGGACACGAGAAAUCCUGUCUGAAUCGGCCGGGACCAUCCGGCAAGGCUAAAUACGAGAGAGUGACCGAUAGUGAACCAGUACCGUGAGGGAAAGGUGAAAAGAACCCCGGGAGGGGAGUGAAAGAGAACCUGAAACCAUAUGCCUACAAGAAGUCAGAGCCCGUUAAAGGGUGAUGGCGUGCCUUUUGUAGAAUGAACCGGCGAGUUACUGUAUGGAGCGAGGUUAAGCAGGAUAUGCGGAGCCGAAGCGAAAGCGAGUCUUAAGAGGGCGAGAGUUGCAUGCAGUAGACCCGAAACCGGGUGAUCUAGCCAUGACCAGGUUGAAGUUGGGGUAAAACCCGAUGGAGGACCGAACCGACCCCCGUUGAAACGUUGGCGGAUGACUUGUGGCUAGGGGUGAAAUUCCAAUCGAACCCGGAGAUAGCUGGUUCUCCCCGAAAUAGCUUUAGGGCUAGCGUCGGAAAGAACCUUAGUGAAGGUAGAGCACUGAAUGUGUGAUGGCCCCAUCCCGGGGUACUGAAUACAAUCAAACUGCGAAUGUCAUUAAGGAUGUCCGGCAGUCAGACUGUGAGUGAUAAGGUCCAUGGUCAAGAGGGAAACAGCCCAGACCGCCAGUUAAGGUCCCAAAAUACAGGCUAAGUGGAAAAGGAUGUGGGGAUGCCCAGACAACUAGGAGGUUGGCUCAGAAGCAGCCAUCCUUUAAAGAGUGCGUAACAGCUCACUAGUCGAAUGACUCUGCGCCGAUAAUUUACCGGGGCUAAGCAUACUACCGAAGCUAUGGAUCCCAAGGGAUGGUAGGGGAGCGUUCCAUGAACGGAGAAGUACGACCGAAAGGACGUGUGGAGAUCAUGGAAGAGAGAAUGCCGGUGUGAGUAGCGGAACGUGGGUGAGAAUCCCACGCACCGAAAACCCAAGGUUUCCAGAGGAAGGUUCGUCCGCUCUGGGUAAGUCGGGACCUAAGGCGAGGCCGAAAGGCGUAGUCGAUGGACAACAGGUAGAGAUUCCUGUACCCGUAUAUAUGUGAAGGAAUGACGGAGAGAGGAAGCUGCAGCCAGCGGCUGGAAGAGCUGGUGCAAGCGAGAUAUCGGGAUGGCAGGCAAAUCCACCAUCCGAAACGAGAAGGCGUGAAGCGUACGGAAAGCUACGGCGAGUACGGAAGGCAGUGGAGGAACUUCCAAGAAAAGUUUCUAACGUUAAGUAUAUAUGGCCCGUACCGAAAAUGGACACACAUGGGUGAGGAGAGAAUCCUAAGGUGAGCGAGAGAACUAUAGCUAAGGAACUCUGCAAAAUGACUCCGUAACUUAGGGAGAAGGAGUGCUCAUAGAGAUAUGAGCCGCAGUGAAACGGCCCAAGCGACUGUUUACCAAAAACACAGCUCUCUGCUAAGCCGCAAGGCGAAGUAUAGGGGGUGACGCCUGCCCGGUGCUGGAAGGUUAAGGGGAGGGGUUAACGCAAGUGAAGCCCUGAACUGAAGCCCCAGUAAACGGCGGCCGUAACUAUAACGGUCCUAAGGUAGCGAAAUUCCUUGUCGGGCAAGUUCCGACCCGCACGAAAGGCGUAACGAUUUGGGCGCUGUCUCAGCUGUAGACUCGGUGA